rfam:Danio rerio chromosome 11 genomic contig CTG10574, GRCz11 reference primary assembly.
ACCCACAGCCAUAUCACCCUGCAGCCCGGUUACUCACUGAAGCUAAGCAGGUCUGACCCUGGUCAGUACCUGGAUGGGAGACCACUUGGGAAAGCUAGGUUGCUGUUGGAA